rnacentral:rRNA from 1 species
GUGAGGAAUAUUGGACAAUGGGUGAGAGCCUGAUCCAGCCAUCCCGCGUGCAGGAAGACGGCCUUAUGGGUUGUAAACUGCUUUUGUAUAGGAAUAAACCACCUUACGUGUAGGGUGUUGAAGGUACUAUACGAAUAAGCACCGGCUAACUCCGUGCCAGCAGCCGCGGUAAUACGGAGGGUGCAAGCGUUAUCCGGAUUUAUUGGGUUUAAAGGGUCCGCAGGCGGAUUUGUAAGUCAGGGGUGAAAUCCGGCAGCUUAACUGUCGAAUUGCCUUUGAUACUGCAGAUCUUGAGUGAGGUUGAAGUAGCUGGAAUGUGUAGUGUAGCGGUGAAAUGCAUAGAUAUUACACAGAACACCGAUUGCGUAGGCAGGUUACUAAGUCUCCACUGACGCUGAGGGACGAAAGCGUGGGUAGCGAACAGGAUUAGAUACCCUGGU